rnacentral:rRNA from 1 species
CAGCAGCCGCGGUAAGACAGAGGAUGCAAGCGUUAUCCGGAAUGAUUGGGCGUAAAGCGUCUGUAGGUGGCUUUUCAAGUUCGCCGUCAAAUCCCAGGGCUCAACCCUGGACAGGCGGUGGAAAUUACCAAGCUGGAGUACGGUAGGGGCAGAGGGAAUUUCCGGUGGAGCGGUAAAAUGCGUUGGGAUCGGAAAGAACACCAACGGCGAAAGCACUCUGCUGGGCCGACACUGACACUGAGAGACGAAAGCUAGGGGAGCAAAUGGGAUUAGAUACCCGCGUAGUCCCUGUCUCUUAUAC